rnacentral:lncRNA from 1 species
AUAAUCCUCUUCACACCAAACCCUAACCCUAGCCGCCAGUCGCCCUCGCCGGAGAAGAAGACCCAGCCGCCUGGAAGGAGAGCCACCGCCACCUGCCACGCGGGAGCUACUUCUGACUGCCAAAAAAGGUAAAAAUAUCCCUUUUUACUCGGAAUUCAAUUUUAAACACCCCCAUGACAGAAAUCGGAGUAAAAGGACUGGCCAAUUGGCCGAAAACUGCGGGUGAAGCUCGGCAGCGCCGCCGCAGGAAAUUUCACAAAACGCCUCCGAUGAGGCCCUUCCCCAUUCUCGUUCGGCAAAAUUUUUCCACCAUUGUGAUCAUCGUUUCCUUCUCUACAGGUUGAC